GACGAACGCUGGCGGCGUGCUUAACACAUGCAAGUCGAACGGAAAGGCCCUGCUUUUGUUGGGUGCUCGAGUGGCGAACGGGUGUGUAACACGUGAGUAACCUGCCCUUGACUUUGUGGUAACUUCAGGAAACUGGGGCUCAUACCCGAUAUGAGCUCCUGCUGCAUGUUGUGGGUUGGUAAGUUUCGGCGUUUGUGGAUGUACUCGCGGGUUAUGAGCUUGUUGGUCGGGUAGUGGCUUACCAAGGGUUUGACGGGUGGCCGGCCUGAGAGGGGGACCGGCCACAAGGGGACUGAGAUACGGCCCAGACGCCUACGGGAGGCAGCAGUGGGGAAUAUUGCACAAUGGGCGGAAGCCUGAUGCAGCAACGCCGCGUGCGGGAUGACGGCCUACGGGUUGUAAACCGCUUUCGCCUGUGACGAAGCGUGAGUGACGGUAAUGGGUAAAGAAGCAACGGCUAACUACGUG
rnacentral:rRNA from 1 species